UACGAAGGGGGCUAGCGUUGUUCGGAUUUACUGGGCGUAAAGCGCACGUAGGCGGGUCGUUAAGUCAGGGGUGAAAUCCCGGAGCUCAACUCCGGAACUGCCUUUGAUACUGGCGACCUUGAGGCUGGAAGAGGUUAGUGGAAUUCCCAGUGUAGAGGUGAAAUUCGUAGAUAUUGGGAAGAACACCAGUGGCGAAGGCGGCUACCUGGACCGGUUCUGACGCUGAUGCGCGAAAGCGUGGGGAGCAAACAGG
rnacentral:rRNA from 1 species